rnacentral:tRNA from 2 species
GCACCCGUAGCUCAGCUGGAUAGAGCGCUGCCCUCCGAAUGGGCAAAUAAAUCGGGAAAACUCCAUAUAUAUCAAUAGCUUGUUCGGGUGCU